ACCGCUGUUCCAGUUCAUCUUC
rnacentral:miRNA from 1 species